GGGUCUCCUGAGACCAGGAUGAGAGAAGGGUCAGACUGGUUGGAGUGCCAUUGAGCCAGAGCCUGCUGGGCAGGGGCUGGGGCACAGAUUCCUCCAGGGCUCCUUGGGAGGGUCUCAGUAGGAAGUGAGACCUCCCUAAGCUUGCUCUCUCUCCAAGGCAGGCAAGGAGAUAGGUUCUUUCUGCAAGCCCAGAAGCACCCAUGGCACCCCUCUCCCAGAAACUGGCUAGUUCCCUGAAGGUUUUUUUAGUCUAAGCUCAUCUACUAGCUGUUUCCACCCCUCUCUGUCCCACCCUGAGUCUGGAUUCUAAGCCCACAGGUCCACCUUGUGGACCAAACAGGCUACCAGAAGCCACCCCUGGCCUUGGCCAAUGCUCCUGCCUAUCCAGCCACAUGUGCAGGGGGGAGCUGAGAAUGUGCAAGAUGCCUCUGCUCUGGCACUCCCUUUAUCUUCCUCCCAGGUUAAAGGUCAAGCUUCAGUCCUUGGUCUUCCUGCUGUAAGACCAGUCCCAUACACCUCCCCCAGUACCUUUGGCCCAAAGCCUCCCAGAGCACUUUGCCCUGGUGGGUGAGUCUAGAGAAGCAGUAGCCUGGAGACUGGGCAAGGGGCAAUGUGAGGAAGGUCAGGCAGGGGCUGAGGCCAGGACAGUGAUGAUCAGGCUGGGAAGCUAGGUCGGCUUUACUUGGGACUCUAGGAAGAAGCACUGAUGGCAGCAGGCUCACCGCCACUGUCCCUUCACACAGCUACAGACUGCCCUACCUAAAACAAGGCCAAUCCCCGCCAUGUCCCUGCCAAAAACUUCCCAAAGGCUCUGCCCUGCCUACCACAUGGUUCCUAACGACAGAGGCAUCACUGCAGCCAUCCCAGGAUGUGUUCCAGCUAAGAACCUGACGAAAGCCUGCGUGGCCAGAAAAGCCCUUACCCCACUCGAGGGCUUAGGCUUGCUGGGGGUAGGUGGGACCUCCAACCUUCUGCAGAGGUGAGAUGGCAUUCACCUCUAUGUCCCCGGGCCUGCCCAGGUGGCAGGGAAUAUUUGCUGAAUGAACAAUGGUGGACAUCCUAAAUUCCUCAUCAGUCCCCUUGUCUGUGCCCUGCCCUGACUCCAGGCUUGUUCUUUGGGUGCUACCUGUGCUCAGAAGUGCAUUCUGAAGAAAACUCCUUUUAUGACCUGAGGAAUUUAUAGAAGUCUGGGUGUGGAAGAUGAGGACUAGGAAUCUCUUCUUUGUGAACACAGGUAAAAGGAAAUUGGUACAAGUGUUGAAGUGAGUGGUGGGGCACGCUGGGACUGGAGAUGAGACAAAAGUGUACCCUUAUGCCAAGAGCCUCUCAUUUGCGGAGUUUGGGCUUGCAUCUUUAGGACUGGGGAAUCUGUGCCCAUGGGUGGGUAUUGUGAUACCCCUAUCAUCUACCACUGGCAGAGGGAACCCCUAGAGUUGCCCCCAGGCAGCCUUCAAAGGGUCCAAGUCAUGGUAGGCACUUGGGGCUGCUCUGGAGUGCAGUGGGGUUGGUCCAGGAUGAUGGGGGGCUUAUAGGGGUGGCCCAGGAUGACAGGGGGAUCAAUCAGGGUGCUUGCUGAGUUUGAGCAGAGUAACUGCUGUGAAGCAUGAACAAGGAGCUUGGAAAGAAUCAAUGCGGGAAGCUGACAAGAGGCUCCAGGUAGCAAAGGCCUUUUCCACACCAACCUGGUUACACAUCCCAGCCCACUACCCACAAGAAGCUCCCAAGCACAGUUCUUCAGGCCACAGAGAUCAGGAGAAUGCAACUGUGGUAUCUGUGACAAGGCCUCCGAGAACAAUCGCCUCCCAUUGUGAUAGCUCAGCCACUAAAGCCUGGUUUGGGCGCACGCUGUUUUUGCACUUCUUGACGUAUUCCCAGGACUUCUGUGAACAUAAGGAGGGAAAGACUUCAGAACUGGACCUGGGCUCCUCCCACUUAGAUCACAGCCAGCUCUGGAGGGACAGGCGACAUUUGCCCAGGGGCUAGCAACAUGGCUUAAGGGCUGGACACAAAUAACAAGGGUUAGUACAUUAGGGCACAAAGGAGUCAGAGCUGGCAAGCCCCUCUGCAUCUCUGCUUCUGAAUACAGAGACAGGAAUCAU